rnacentral:lncRNA from 1 species
GCACUUUCACAGGAAUCAUACUGAAAAACGACUUACAAAAAAAUACGAUAAGCCAAACAUGGGCCAGAGAAUUACAAAUUAGAGCGGUUCAAUAACAGAUAGCACCUACCAAAUAAAGUUUAAGAGUUCCGACUAAUCACCUAAACAAUUUUCUGCUGUAAUAAAAUCAUACGGUGAACAAAAAUGAGUUACUAUAAUCAACUUUUUAUCCAGACAUUCAACGAAAAACAAGGGAAUCACAGGUUAUUCAAUAUCAUCAUACACACACUACUCUGGCUGUGCGCUAUAAGUAUAGUGAUCAUUGUUUAGGUUCUUUCCUCCAGGAACUAGAGAGCUUCUGGCUUCAUGUAGCCCUUUUGUUGCUUUAUCUUAUAGAACCUGGCAAUCUCACCACAACAGAAACACAUGAUCAUUAUUUUAAGAGAGUUGAUAUUUGCAAAGUCAAUAUUUUAAUACAACAAUAAAGAAGAGUACUGGCCAUGCUAAAUUAAGUUUGAGCAAUAUAAUUGUCAUCAGAAAGGGGGAAAGUACAUAAAAAGAAAUAUAUAUUUUAUAAAACUAAAUGGCAAAAGAACGUGCAAUCCUGUGCUAACAUUGAAAAAAUCACACAUAAUAUGAUAAUAACAGUAGAUAAUAACUCAAGAUAGAUAAUUUGUCUUCUACUGGAGUUCUAGUAAGAAUAUUUUACACAAUCAUAUAUAAAAACCGAAGAUAGAUAAUUUGUCUUCUACUGGAGCAGUAAUGAUUGACCAGACAUGUUAAAUAAGACAAGUAUUUAUGCAAACUUAACCGUUUUCAAUACCAAAGCACUUUUUUUAACUGGAUUGAGUUCAAGGAAUACAAAACUCAGGUGCUUACCGCAACAAAUAUCACAUUUUGCUUGCUUCCCACAUAUAUGGUGCUUACCGCACAUAAUGCAUGUCAAAACUCAGGUGUAUAUAGAAAAGAUAGCACAACGAUGUUCUAAAACAUUAGUACUCCACCUGACUUGAAAUGCCUCGGAACAACACUAGCAUAAGUCAAAUUUAAUAAGUCGCAUCGAUAUGACUUAAGAGGCAACAUGCAUCUUGUGCACGUCCACCGUAGUAGCCAUUGGGAUCGUAGAGUUUCCUACACAGAGAAGCAUUAAAAGGAAAGUAGUUAGAACAUGACCUUUUAAGCAUAAAGUUUAUGACACUGGGAUGAUGAGUGGUUACUAACAUACAAGGUUGUUUCUGUUAGGUUCGUUGCAUAGGAAACAAAAAUUUCCUACGAGAAGUGCAGAAGAAAACCCAAGAAUAUAUAUACUAGAUGUAUGUAACGAGAGGGAUCAUGAACACCAUACCCUCGUAGACCGCUAAGCGUUACGAUCACGAGAUCGUUGUUGGUGUAGUGGAACUUUCAAUGAGAUCAAUCUCAGUGCCGAACGGACAGCACCUCCUUGGUAUCCACACGUUCAGCUUCACGUUGUCUCCUCCUUCCUCGAUCCAGCAAGCGAGAGGGAGAGGUAGACGAGAUCCCGGCAGCACGACGGCGUGGUGACUAUGGUGAAUAUUCUCACGGGCAGGGCUACGCCGUGCGCGUGAGAAGAGGAGGAGAGGAGGGCUCAGGGGAGAGAGAUCCAACUGAAAGCUUGGGGUAUCUCUCUCCCUUGCCCCCCCCUUCUAUUUAUAUAGGGGUAGAGGAGGCAUGGCCGGCCAGGACUAUCCCGUGGCCAGGACUCUCAUGCGGCCAGGACUCUCCCGCGGCCAGGACUCUCCUCCUGGCCGCAUGGGCCCUGUGGGCUAGCCCCUCGGCCCAUUAAGGCCAGGGUGCUCCCUCACAGGCCCAUUUAGCCCAGGGAUAGGUGGGCCUCAAGGUGGAACCCUCCGGAUCCUCCGGAACCUUCUAGAAGCUUCCCGGUCAAAACCGGGAAAUAUUCCAAACUUUCCAGAACCCUGAAAACAACUUUCCAUAUAUAAAUCUUUAUCUCCGGAACAUUCCGGAGCUCCUCGUUGCGUCUAGGAUCCCAUCCAAGACUCCGAAUCAUAAUUCGAUAUCAUCAUCAUUUAUCUCAUCUAACCCAAGCAACAUGAAACGUUAAGUGUGUGACCCUACGGGUUCGAGAACAUGUGGACAUGAUCAAAUAUCAAUAACCAAUAGCGGGACCUGGAUGUCCAUAAUAGUUCCCACAUAUUCCACGAAGAUCUCAUCGGUUGAACCACUAUGUCGAGGAUUCAAUUAAUCCAGUAUCCAAUUCUCUUUGUCUCGCGAUAUAUUACUUGCCCGAGAUUUGAUCGUCGGUAUCGCCAUACCUAGUUUAAUCUCGUUACCGGCAAGUUCUCUUUACUCGUUCCGUAAUAUAAUACCCCCGCAACUAAACACAUUAGUCGCAUACUUGCAAGCUCAUUAGGAUGUUAUAUUACCGAGAGGGCCCAGAGAUAUCUCUCCGUCACAAGGAGUGACAAAUCCCAGUCUUGAUCCAUACAACCCAACAAGCACCUUCUGGGAUACCUGAAAAACACCUUUAUGAUCACCCAGUUACGAGAUGACGGUUGAUGCCCACAAAGUAUUCUUCCGGUACUAGGGAGUGGCAUGAUCUCAUGGUCUAAAGAAAUAAUACUUGACAUAAUAAAACAUAAGCAACUUAAACUUAAGUGACACGAUCAAAAGCUAUGUUUAGGUUUGGGUCUGUCCAUCACAUCAUUCUCCUAAUGUAUGAUCUCGUUAUUAAAUGACAACACAUGUCUAUGGUUAGGAAACCUUAACCAUCUUUAAUCAACGAGCUAAUCUAGUAGAGGCGUAUUAGGGACACGGUAUUUGUUUAUUUAUCCACACAUGUAUUUGAGUUUCCAAUCAAUACAAUUAUAGCAUGGGCAAUAAACAUUUAUCAAGAAGAUGAAAUAUGAUAAUAACAAAUUUAUUAUUGCCUCUAGGGCAUAUUUCCAACAGUUUCAUCCAAGUUUAUGCAUGUACACAUUGCACCUAGUGUUGAACGUUCCUAGCAGUAUUCAGCCACACCCAAUAUCUGGAAAUAUUGAAUUGCAUACAGUCAUCCUGCAGAUUUUCACUUCCAUUUAAGAGUAGAGAUAAAGAAGAAAAUAGACAUUCACUUCCAGUUCCAUCUGUCGAGUUUCCCCUUGGUCUCAAAUUUCCCCUCAUUAUAUGUUGUAUGUAGUCACUAAGAUGUGAUUAAUCAUGAAGUUACCUUAUCGACUUAUAUAAGAUCUUUGAGGGACAAAGCACAAACAAUGCACAGUGUACUAGGCAUCUAGCAUGAUUUGUAGUCAUUCUUAUUAGAAUCUGACCUGAAGUAGAUUAUGUCAUUCUUACUUUAGUCCUUUCUAAGAAAUCCACCCAUUUUCCUCAGAACUAUCUCCUGGUUGGCUUCAUCCCACUCAACAUAGCUUUUCCGCACACUACAACUUUUCUCAAGAGCAUAACUGUUAUAGAACUUGAAACCAUCAUCCUCGCUACCAAAACGUCUUAGCGACGAUAUCAAGAUACUCAUCCACAGAAUCAUCAACCAUGUCUUUUAAUCACAUACAAAUCAAGAUUUUGUUUAGUUUUUGGACUAUUAAUUUUGCUGGAAAAAAAAAGAGAAAAUAAAAAACUUACCUCGGGCGGCGGCGGCGGCCAGGGCGGCGCGCGGCCAGGCUCGAGGAGGGCGGGGGCCGCCGGAUUCGGGCGGGGGUGGUUGGCGGCGCGAGAUGGGCUGUGCGCAGCGGACGGGGGAGGGAGUCGAGCGGGGAUGGUCGGGGAAGGAGAUAGUUUCUCGUGCCCAGGCUCAGGUUCUGUAAUACGGAUUAAUUCAACGGACAUAAUUAAUUCCCGGAGGAGUACAGAGAUGUACUGAAAAAUACUUGCCAAUCAUCGACUUCAUCGUAAAAGAAG